AACGAACGCUGGCGGCAGGCUUAACACAUGCAAGUCGAGCGCACCGCAAGGUGAGUGGCAGACGGGUGAGUAACACGUGGGGAUCUGCCCAAUGGUACGGAAUAUCUCCGGGAAACUGGAAUUAAUACCGUAUGUGCCCUUCGGGGGAAAGAUUUAUCGCCAUUGGAUGAACCCGCGUCGGAUUAGCUAGUUGGUGAGGUAAAGGCUCACGAAGGCGACGAUCCGUAGCUGGUCUGAGAGGAUGAUCAGCCAGACUGGGACUGAGACACGGCCCAGACUCCUACGGGAGGCAGCAGUGGGGAAUAUUGGACAAUGGGCGCAAGCCUAAUCCAGCCAUGCCGCGUGAGUGAUGAAGGCCUUAGGGUUGUAAAGCUCUUUCGCCGACGAAGAUAAUGACGGUAGUCGGAGAAGAAGCCCCGGCUAACUUCGUGCCAGCAGCCGCCGCCGUAA
rnacentral:rRNA from 1 species